AUUGAACGCUGGCGGCAUGCCUUACACAUGCAAGUCGAACGGCAGCGGACCUUCGGGUGCCGGCGAGUGGCGAACGGGUGAGUAAUGCAUCGGAACGUACCUUUCAGUGGGGGAUAACGUAGCGAAAGUUACGCUAAUACCGCAUAUUCUGUGAGCAGGAAAGCAGGGGAUCGCAAGACCUUGCGCUGAUUGAGCGGCCGAUGCCAGAUUAGCUAGUUGGUGAGGUAAAGGCUCACCAAGGCGACGAUCUGUAGCGGGUCUGAGAGGAUGAUCCGCCACACUGGAACUGAGACACGGUCCAGACUCCUACGGGAGGCAGCAGUGGGGAACUUUGGACAAUGGGGGCAACCCUGAUCCAGCCAUGCCGCGUGAGUGAAGAAGGCCUUCGGGUUGUAAAGCUCUUUCGGCCGGGAAGAAAUCGCACGGGCUAAUACCCUGUGUGGAUGACGGUACCGGAAUAAGAAGCACCGGCUAACUACGUGCCAGCCGCCGCAGUAAAAC
rnacentral:rRNA from 1 species